GGGGCCACUCAAUUAGUGAGUCUUCCAACCAGAGCUUGUGCAGCGUGGGGUCCUUGAGUGACAAAGAAGUAGAGACUCCUGAGAAAAAGCAGAAUGACCAGCGAAAUCGGAAAGGAAAAGCUGAACCAUAUGAAACUAAGCAAGGGAAAGGCACUCCUAGGGGACAUAAAAUUAGUGAUUACUUUGAGUUUGCUGGGGGAAGCGGGCCAGGAACCAGCCCUGGCAGAAGUGUUCCACCAGUUGCACGAUCCUCACCGCAACAUUCCUUAUCCAAUCCCUUGCCGCGGCGAGUAGAGCAGCCCCUGUAUGGUUUAGAUGGCAAUGCGGCGAAGGAGGUGGCUGAGGAGCAGUCGGCCCG